GAUAAACGCUGGCGGUAUACAUAACACAUGCAAGUCGAACGGAAUAUUUUUCGGAUAUUUAGUGGCGGACGGGUGAGUAACACGUAAGAAUCUGCCUUCAGGACGGGGACAACAGUCGGAAACGACUGCUAAGACCCGAUAUGCUUUUCAAGUGAAACAGUUAAUUCUGCCUGAAGAUGAGCUUGCGUCCGAUUAGCUAGUUGGUGAGGUAAAGGCUCACCAAGGCAACGAUCGGUAGCUGGUCUGAGAGGACGAUCAGCCACACUGGGACUGAGACACGGCCCAGACUCCUACGGGAGGCAGCAGUGGGGAAUCUUGGACAAUGGGGGCAACCCUGAUCCAGCCAUGCCGCGUGGGUGAUGAA
rnacentral:rRNA from 1 species